AUUCCUACGGGAGGCAGCAGUCGAGAAUCAUUCACAAUGGGCGAAAGCCUGAUGGUGCGACGCCGCGUGGAGGAUGACAGCCCUAGGGUUGUAAACUCCUGUCAUGAGAGAGAAAAGACUUAACGUAAAUACCGUUGGGUCCUGAUAGUAUCUCAAGAGGAAGGGACGGCUAACUUCGUGCCAGCAGCCGCGGUAAUACGAAGGUCCCAAGCGUUGUUCGGAAUUACUGGGCGUAAAGCGUGCGUAGGCGGCAUGGUAAGUCAGAUGUGAAAUCCCAGGGCUCAACCCUGGAACUGCAUCCGAUACUGCCAAGCUAGAGUAGUGGAGGGGAGUCUGGAAUUCACGGUGUAGCAGUGAAAUGCGUAGAUAUCGUGAGGAACACUAGUGGCGAAGGCGAGACUCUGGACACUAACUGACGCUGAGGCACGAAGGCUAGGGUAGCGAAAGGGAUUAAAUACCCCUGUGGUCCUAGCAGUAAACGGUGCGCGUUUGGUGUGGGCGGGUUCGACCCCGUCCGUGCCGAAGCUAACGCGUUAAACGCGCCGCCUGGGGAGUACGGUCGCAAGACUAAAACUUAAAGGAAU
rnacentral:rRNA from 1 species